AGGUAGGAUACAGAAGGAUAUUUAAUGUAUAUUAUCUGUAAGCAACAAUAAAACCAUUAUAAAUGAUUAAACGAUUCUAAGCGGAGUUCAAUUGAUAGUGAUGCUUUGUCAACAAUAUAUAUAUAUAUGUCAUAUUAUGGUAAAAUAAUUAAAUAGAUAGUAUAUAUUUUCUUUAAUAAUAUUUGUUUAAUAUUUUACCGAUUUUCCCGUUUUUUCUACGUUUUUCCCGGUUUUCCGUGUUUUUCUGGUUUUUUAAAUUUGUUGAGAAAACUUCCAAGAAAAUUAAAAAAUGGCCUCUCUAAAGUAUUUCUCCAAGAACAUUUAAUUUUGGAAAAGAAUCUACAUCGUAUACAUCGAAGUAAGCUUUCUAGC